rnacentral:rRNA from 1 species
CUUAAGAUGAUGAUACCCUCGGGAAACUGAGGCUAAAAAUCAAUAGACAAAGGAGGCUGGAAUGCGCCUUUGUUGAAACGUAAGGCCUUAGGAUGGGACUGCGGCCGAUUAGGUAGUUGGUGGGGUAAUGGCCCAACAAGCCAAUUAUCGGUAAGGGCUCUUAACGGAGAGGCCCUGAGAGGGACUCUGAGACACUACUCCCAGCCCUACGGGGUGCAGCAGGCGGGAAAAUUCUCCAAUGCGCGAAAGAAUGAGAGAGGAAUCCAAAGUGCUUCUCAAUUUGAAUGGCUUUUGCCAACUUUAAAAAGGUGGGCGAAUAAGGACUGGGCAAGACUGGUGCCAGCCGCCGCGGUAAUCCCAGCAGUCCGAGUCGUGGCCACAUUUAUUAGGUCUAAAACAUUCCGUAGCUGGUUUUGUAAGUUUUUUGUGAAAUUGUGUCACUUAAGUGCACAGCGUGCAAGGGAGACUGCAAGACUAGAGACCGGGAGACGUAAGGAGUACAUUCAAGGUAGCGGUAAAAUGUUUUAAUCUUGGAUGGACUAACAAUGGCGAAGGCACCUUACGAGAACGGAUCUGACAGUGAGGGAUGAAAGCCCGGGGCGCCAAAUGGAUUAGAUACCCAAGUAGUCCUAGCAGUACACACUGCGCACUAAACAUUGUGACCUCCUCGAGAGGUUGCAGUGCUGCAGCGAAGGCGAAGAGUGCGCUACCUGGGAAGUAUAGCCGCAAGGCCGAAACUUAA